UCUACCAAAGGAUAAUA
rnacentral:tRNA from 1 species